AUACGUAGGUGGCAAGCGUUGUCCGGAAUGAUUGGGCGUAAUGGGCGCGUAGGCGGCGCGGUAAGUCUGGAGUGAAAGUCCUGCUUUCAAGGUGGGAAUUGCUUUGGAUACUGCCGCGCUUGAGUGCCGGAGAGGUUAUCGGAAUUCCCGGUGUAGCGGUGAAAUGCGUAGAGAUCGGGAGGAACACCAGUGGCGAAGGCGGGUAACUGGACUGCAACUGACGCUGAGGCGCGAAAGUGUGGGGAGCAAACAGGAUUAGAUACCCUGGUAGUCCACACUGUAAACGAUGAAUGCUAGGUGUAAGAGGUAUCGACCCCUUUUGUGCCGGAGUCAACACAAUAAGCAUUCCGCCUGGGGAGUACGGCCGCAAGGUUGAAACUCAAAGGAAUCGACGGGG
rnacentral:rRNA from 1 species